UGAGGAAUAUUGGUCAAUGGGCGAGAGCCUGAACCAGCCAAAUCGCGUGAAGGAAGACUGCCUUAUGGGUUGUAAACUUCUUUUAUACAGGAAUAAAAAAGGGGACGUGUCCCUUAUUGCAUGUACUGUAUGAAUAAGCAUCGGCUAACUCCGUGCCAGCAGCCGCGGUAAUACGGAGGAUGCGAGCGUUAUCCGGAUUUAUUGGGUUUAAAGGGUGCGCAGGCGGGCUUUUAAGUCAGCGGUGAAAUCUCGGGGCUUAACUCCGAAACUGCCGUUGAAACUGGGAGUCUUGAGUAUGGAUGAAGUAGGCGGAAUUCGUUGUGUAGCGGUGACAUGCUUAGAUAUAACGAGGAACUCCGAUUGCGUAGGCAGCUUACUAAGCCAUAACUGACGCUCAAGCACGAAAGCGUGGGGAUCAAAACAGGAUUAGAUACCCUGGUAGUCCACGCCGUAAACGAUGAUUACUAGUUGUAUGCGAUAUACCGUAUGUGACUAAGCGAAAGCGAUAAGUAAUCCACCUGGGGAGUACGCCGGCAACGGUGAAACUUAAAGGAAUUGAC
rnacentral:rRNA from 1 species